rnacentral:rRNA from 1 species
UACGUAGGGGGCAAGCGUUGUCCGGAAUUAUUGGGCGUAAAGAGCGCGUAGGCGGUCCGGUAAGUCAGCUGUGAAAGUCAAGGGGCUCAACCCUUGAAGCCGGCUGAUACUGCCGGACUAGAGUCCGGGAAGAGGCGAGUGGAAUUCCCGGUGUAGCGGUGAAAUGCGCAGAGUAUCGGGAGGAACACCAAUGGCGAAGGCAGCUCGCUGGGACGGUACUGACGCUGAGGCGCGAAAGCGUGGGGAGCAAACAGGGAUUAAGAUACCCGUGGUAG